GGUAGGAGAGCGCUGGGGCCUCCUGGUGUUAUUCAUGGUCCUUGUCUGUCCUCCACCGCAUCAUCAUCUUCGGCUACUACCCUCAGAAGCACCUCUGGCUACCGUGACUGCAGACCUGCUGCUUUUUUAGUCCUCCUGCAACUCUGCGCCAACACCACCAACCGCUAAGGUUGUGCAAUUUGCGUGUGCCGUGGUACAAUGAACUCCUGUAGCGAGAGAACAUUACAGUGACACGAAGAGCGCGCGCGGCAAGAGAGUUGACUGGGUUCUUUCGACUCGCGAGUUCCAGAUCCAGCAGUCCUCGUGGCGGCCCUAAAAAGCACCAGUGCUCGCCUACUGCCAAAUUCAAAAUUGCACACGUCCGGUCGUCUCGUCGAUCUGAUCCCAUUCGUUUCCUUCCUGGCGCCCAAGAGCAACCCCAAUCGUCCCGAUGUUUGCGAUUAUGCCAAUAGAGGCUGAGGAUCGGAACUCAAACCGAUCCGAAUUUCGACGCAAGAUGAGGGCCAAGUGCGAGUUCGUCUGCAAGUACUGCCAGCGUCGCUUCACCAAACCCUACAACCUGAUGAUCCACGAGCGGAGUCACAAGGAUGACGUCACGUUCACCUGCGAGACCUGCGGAAAGUCCUUCAAGAGGCAGGAUUACCUUAAGCAACACAGAUGUGGGAUGAUGCGGUGAGCUGCAGGGCAAGCGCCGGCUAUAAGCUCGUAGCAUAGCUCCCAACACUCACUAACACGUCUGGCCAUUACCCCAACAACCCCUGCUACAACGGAUACGACCGCUACGUAUACUGAUCCAGAGCCAAUCACUCUCUGUACCCCACGCACACUGCGCUCUCAUGAAAUAUGUAUGCUGCAUUAUUAAUUAGGUGCCGCCUCGCUGGCUGCCCUGAAAAUACGGCCGCUAGCUCUCUUUCAUUUUCGUGUCCGGCGAGCGAGACCACCUUUUCAACCAUCAACGCGCAUCGCACAGAAUAAGCUGCUUCUCAAGAUGCAAUAAACACCCCGUAUAACCGUAUUUACUUCCAUACACAUUAUAUACAAGUAAUAUUUUAAAUAUAUAUUUAUAGCUGAUUAGUCAUCCCUCUCGCUUUAAUUACCCUGUAAUCGCAAAAAUGAGAUUUUUAUGUCUUCGAAAAGAAGAGGAAUUUUUUGCGAUUCUUCUUUGCUGCUGAAGAAUGUGACGAAAAAGUUUGUUCCUUGAGGUCAGUGUUGGAGAUUUUUGAACUACAUCGUGAGCGAUCGGCGCGUUUUAGACUUUUGUUUUUUAUAAAUAAAUAAAUAAAUACGAUAUGUAAUAUUGAUUGAAGAUGUACCCUUCUCAAUGUCUUUUCCGCCCAAUUUUAUAGUGUUUAACACCCCUCUUAGUCUAUUUGCUAUAUGUUUUUAAUUGAAAUGCAUUGCACACUGUAAAUAUCCAGUCUUCUCACUUAAUUUAAAUGUGACAUCUCCCUAAAACGCACGUCCGCGGAGAUGACGAAAAUUGUUAUUUGCUUUUCCUCUGCCAGAGUUUAUUAACCCCGCUACCUGUCGACACUAUAGAUUAUUUAAUUCCUGUUAAUGUGUAGAGAUUUUAGCUGAUAGUCAGUGAUUAAUAAAAUUAAACGUCUGCUUCAAUCCGCUUCAAAAGGCACGCGAUGAUUUUCCACUUUGUGUAACUUAUACAUGAAAGAUAAAUAAAAAGCUUUAUAUGUAUUCACCAACCUAAAAA